GGAACUUCCUGUAGAGGGGGUGUCAGUUUAACAGGAACUUCCUGUAGGGGGGGGUGUCAGUUUAACAUGAACUUCCUUUAGAGGGGGUGUCAGUUUAACAUGAACUUCCUGUAGAGGGGGUGUCAGUUCAACAGGAACUUCCUGAGGCCUGUAGAGGGGGUGUCAGUUCAACAGCACGUCACCAAGUGUCCUCUCGCUGAGGGGAACAAGCUUUAU